rnacentral:rRNA from 1 species
AUUAAGUUUAAUUUAAUAUAGAAUCUGCUCAAUGAUUUAUUAAAUAGCUGCAGUAUUUUGACUGUGCAAAGGUAGCAUAAUAAUUAGUCUUUUAAUUGGGGACUUGUAUGAAAGAUUUGAUGAGAAAUAAACUUUAUUAUUUAUAUAAUUAAAAUUUUAUUUUUAAGUAAAAAAGCUUAAAUUUUUUAAAGGGACGAUAAGACCCUAUAAAACUUUAUAAAUGAUAUAAUUGAUUUUUUUGGAUUUAUAAAUAUUUUAUUUUUAUUUUUUAUUUUAUUGGGGUGAUAAAAAAAAUUAAUUAACUUUUUUUAAAUUUUAACAUUAUUUAAUGAUUAUUUGAAUUAAAAUUUUUAAUUAAAGGAAAAAGUUACUUUAGGGAUAACAGCGUAAUUAGUUUUUUAAGUUCAAAUUUAAAAAUUAGUUUGCGACCUCGAUGUUGAAUUAAGAUUAAUCUUAGGUGCAAAAUUUUAAGUAUUAGGUCUGUUCGACCUUUAAAUUCUUACGUGA